GGGAUUAGUGGCGAACGGGUGAGUAACACGUGAGUAACCUGCCCUUGACUCUGGGAUAACCUCCGGAAACGGAAGCUAAUACCGGAUACGAACUGCGAAGGCAUCUUCAGCAGUUGGAAAGAACUUCGGUCAAGGAUGGACUCGCGGCCUAUCAGGUAGUUGGUGAGGUAACGGCCCACCAAGCCUACGACGGGUAGCCGGCCUGAGAGGGUGACCGGCCACACUGGGACUGAGACACGGCCCAGACUCCUACGGGAGGCAGCAGUGGGGAAUAUUGCACAAUGGGCGCAAGCCUGAUGCAGCAACGCCGCGUGAGGGAUGACGGCCUUCGGGUUGUAAACCUCUUUUAGUAGGGAAGAAGCGAAAGUGACGGUACCUGCAGAAAAAGCACCGGCUAACUACGUGCCAGCAGCCGCGGUAAUACGUAGGGUGCGAGCGUUGUCCGGAAUUAUUGGGCGUAAAGAGCUCGUAGGCGGUCUGUCGCGUCUGCUGUGAAAACCCGAGGCUCAACCUCGGGCCUGCAGUGGGUACGGGCAGACUAGAGUGCGGUAGGGGAGAAUGGAAUUCCUGGUGUAGCGGUGGAAUGCGCAGAUAUCAGGAGGAACACCGAUGGCGAAGGCAGUUCUCUGGGCCGUAACUGA
rnacentral:rRNA from 1 species